rnacentral:rRNA from 1 species
UACGGAAGGGGCAAGCGUUGUUCGGAAUCGUUGGGCGUAAAGGGCGUGUAGGUGGUUCUGUAUGUCUACCGUGAAAGCGUACGGCUCAACCGUAUUUAGUCGGUAGAAACUGCAGGACUUGAGGCUGGGAGGGGCUGGUGGAAUUCCCCGUGUAGCGGUGAAAUGCGUAGAGAUGGGGGAGAACACUCGUGGCGAAGGCGGCCAGCUAGACCAGUUCUGACACUGAGGCGCGAUAGCGUGGGGAGCAAACAGG